CCUACGGGAGGCAGCAGUAGGGAAUAUUGCUCAAUGGCGGAAACCCUGAAGCAGCAACGCCGCGUGGAGGAUGAAGGUUUUCGGAUUGUAAACUCCUUUUGUUAGAGAAGAUAAUUACGGUAUCUAACGAAUAAGCACCGGCUAACUCCGUGCCAGCAGCCGCGGUAAUACGGAGGGUGCAAGCGUUACUCGGAAUCACUGGGCGUAAAGCGCGCGUAGGCGGGAUAGCAAGUCAGAUGUGAAAUCCUCGGGCUUAACCAUAGAACUGCAUUUGAAACUGUUAUUCUAGAGUAUGGGAGAGGUAGGUGGAAUUCUUGGUGUAGGGGUAAAAUCCGUAGAGAUCAAGAGGAAUACUCAUUGCGAAGGCGACCUGCUAGAACAUAACUGACGCUGAUGCGCGAAAGCGUGGGGAGCAAACAGGAUUAGAUACCCUAGUAGUC
rnacentral:rRNA from 1 species